GUCUACAGCUGGGAGUACUACCGAGGAGCACAUCUUACAAUCACACAGAGACUGACCAAAGAGAACACAGGAGAAUUUCUACCAGCUGACUGGAGAGCUUCACAACAACAAACAGACUAUGAAUAUCCUCUAAAUAAUGAGACUGAUGACAUGGGGCCUUGGAGAACUCUCUCUUGGCACUAUCGGUCUACCCAUCUUCUCUGCAUGGCCAUGACAUAAAGAAGACAGUACCUUCAGCAGGAGCUCUAUAACUUCUGUGUGAACAAGUCCAUGCACUGGCUCUCCAUUGAUGUGUGUGAUCAGAUCCCCAGCCUUUAGUCCUGCCUGGUAUGCUGGACUUCCUUCUUCUACAUUCUGAAGUUCAAGAGAAGAGAAUGUUUGUGAGCAAACAAAUGACAACCCUAACACCUACUGUUUGUUCUGGCAGAAUAUUUUGAGCAAUUCACAAAUGAUACCAAGCUCCUACUAGGACAUCAAAAAGGCAUGUUUCCUAUUGUGUCAUUGUUCUGAAAUAGGUUAUUUUCCAUUUCCUUUAAAAAUUUUCAAGAGAAUUGGGAAUCUAAUUUUAAAAAACAACCCCAGGAAAGAAAAAUGUAAGUAGGAUAGAAAUAUGAUAACCUUUUAGUAUGUCUACUAGUUGAUAUAUAAGAAUGGACAAUCAACUAUGAAAACUGGACAGAAUUAGGAGAAAUUAUUAAUUUUUGCUAAAUUCAGUUCCACCAUACAGAUAAAGGAAAAGAACAUUAAAAGGAAAAUGAAACAGGUUCCAAAGGCCAGGAUAACAGAAAAUAAGUUUUCUAUUAACUUUGCUUCAGCCACUCCCCAAUCUGACUGGAAGUGAAAACUGACAAGCAAGAGACGGUGGGUCUUACCCAAACGAUAUGGUGCACUGUAUAGAUGUCACUGUCUCCCACGUACACCCGGAUGGCUCGGAUGGUGAAACCAUAGUUCUUCCCUGAACUGUGGAUCACAAUGGGCUGAUGGGGACUCGCAGCAGCUGUUGAAGAAGAGUCUCGACUGGGAGAAGAAUCUCGUGAAGAAGAAGGAUCCGAUGACAAGGAGUGGGGAGACAUUGGACUUCCCAGUGGAGAGACAGCAAACAUAUCUGCAACAAAGAGUCAACCGUCAAAGCCAGUCCCAGGCACACACACAUCCCUGCAGUCAGCCUCCCCAAGGAGCUCUGUCAGGACAGGGAGCAUGGCCACAAAAUGAAACCCACUCAUUUUCAACAGCAAAAUAAAGAAACAGUGCAAAAAUGUUUAUAUUGAUAAAUGGAUGCAUUUUAAAACUGAAGCCUGUCAAAGAAACAUCAGAGCUGCUUCUAUUUUUAGCUAAUGUUUCAAUUAAUAUUUAAAGUUAUGAUUUCUUAGUUCUCUAAUUAAAAGAGAGAUUAGCUA